ACAGAUGUUUCCCCUGAACGCAAGAGAACGUAGUUCUUCCAAUAACCUUGACUUCAGACUCCCAGUAACUUUUGUGGUUUUAAGGCAGUGAAGUUUGUGGUGAUUUGUUACAACAGCCACAAGAAACUAAUACAAGUAGGAGGCACCAGAGCAGCCCAGGAGCACAUGCCAUUUACUUGCAUGAGACUUCUUUGUUAAAAGGUAAGACUUUCUCCACCACACCAAAAAUGCUACUCUAACUUUUCCCUCCCUGGUCUUAAAUUCAAUGCAAUGUGGACCAAUGGA